GCGGGACACGUGGUAUCCUGUCUGAAUAUGGGGGGACCAUCCUCCAAGGCUAAAUACUCCUGACUGACCGAUAGUGAACCAGUACCGUGAGGGAAAGGCGAAAAGAACCCCGGCGAGGGGAGUGAAAAAGAACCUGAAACCGUGUACGUACAAGCAGUGGGAGCCUCUUAAUGGGGUGACUGCGUACCUUUUGUAUAAUGGGUCAGCGACUUAUAUUCUGUAGCAAGGUUAACCGAAUAGGGGAGCCGAAGGGAAACCGAGUCUUAACUGGGCGUUAAGUUGCAGGGUAUAGACCCGAAACCCGGUGAUCUAGCCAUGGGCAGGUUGAAGGUUGGGUAACACUAACUGGAGGACCGAACCGACUAAUGUUGAAAAAUUAGCGGAUGACUUGUGGCUGGGGGUGAAAGGCCAAUCAAACCGGGAGAUAGCUGGUUCUCCCCGAAAGCUAUUUAGGUAGCGCCUCGUGAAUUCAUCUCCGGGGGUAGAGCACUGUUUCGGCAAGGGGGUCAUCCCGACUUACCAACCCGAUGCAAACUGCGAAUACCGGAGAAUGUUAUCACGGGAGACACACGGCGGGUGCUAACGUCCGUCGUGAAGAGGGAAACAACCCAGACCGCCAGCUAAGGUCCCAAAGUCAUGGUUAAGUGGGAAACGAUGUGGGAAGGCCCAGACAGCCAGGAUGUUGGCUUAGAAGCAGCCAUCAUUUAAAGAAAGCGUAAUAGCUCACUGGUCGAGUCGGCCUGCGCGGAAGAUGUAACGGGGCUAAACCAUGCACCGAAGCUGCGGCAGCGACACUAUGUGUUGUUGGGUAGGGGAGCGUUCUGUAAGCCUGUGAAGGUGG
rnacentral:rRNA from 1 species